CAGUCUAUCUAUGUUGCUGUGGAAGUGAAUGUGGGAACGUAACCCAAAAAGUUAUAGAGGUAGAGACGCAGUAGGUUAGAGGUGGAGACGCAGUAGGUUAGAGGUAGAGACGCAGUAGGUUAGAGGUAGAGACGCAGUAGGUUAGAGGUAGAGACGCAGUAGGUUAGAGGUAGAGACGCAGUAGGUUAGAGGUAGAGAAGCAGUAAGUUAGAGGUAGAGACGCAGUAGGUUAGAGGUAGAGAAGCAGUAAGUUAGAGGUAGAGACGCAGUAGGUUAGAGGUAGAGACGCAGUAGGUUAGAGGUAGAGAAGCAGUAGGUUAGAGGUAGAGACGCAGUAGGUUAGAGGUAGAGACGCAGUAGGUUAGAGGUAGAGACGCAGUAGGUUAGAGGUAGAGACGCAGUAGGUUAGAGGUAGAGACGCAGUAGGUUAGAGGUAGAGAUGCAGUAGGUUAGAGGUAGAGACGCAGUAGGUUAGAGGUAGAGACGCAGUAGGUUAGAGGUAGAGACGCAGUAGGUUAGAGGUAGAGACGCAGUAGGUUAGAGGUAGAGACGCAGUAGGUUAGAGGUAGAGACGCAGUAGGUUAGAGGUGGAGACGCAGUAGGUUAGAGGUAGAGACGCAGUAGGUUAGAGGUAGAGACGCAGUAGGUUAGAGGUAGAGACGCAGUAGGUUAGAGGUAGAGACGCAGUAGGUUAGAGGUAGAGACGCAGUAGGUUAGAGGUAGAGACGCAGUAGGUUAGAGGUAGAGAAGCAGUAAGUUAGAGGUAGAGACGCAGUAGGUUAGAGGUAGAGACGCAGUAGGUUAGAGGUAGAGACGCAGUAGGUUAGAGGUAGAGACGCAGUAGGUUAGAGGUAGAGACGCAGUAGGUUAGAGGUAGAGACGCAGUAGGUUAGAGGUAGAGAAGCAGUAAGUUAGAGGUAGAGACGCAGUAAGUAGAGAAGCAGUAAGUUAGAGGUAGAGAUGCAGUAAGUAGAGACGCAGUAGGUUAGAGGUAGAGACGCAGUAGGUUAGAGGUAGAGACGCAGUAGGUUAUAGGUAGAGAAGCAGUACGUUAGAGGUAGAGACGCAGUAAGUUAGAGGUAAAGGUAGAGAUAAAUGUUCCAGAUAGGAUGGACACCCCUCUCCCCACACACCCCCUCCCACACAACACCCCUCCCCACA